UCAUGACCUGCACUGAUAAAAAUGGAAAUAUAUAAAGUAAAAACUGUGCUAAGCAAAUAGUGAUUAACCAAGUCUUCAACCAAUCGGUCAGUCAAUUAGGCUACUAAUGAGAAAAUUCUGUCUGUCUUGAUCUGUCUGGUGACUGACGUUUAUAUUGUUUAAAUAUAUAAUAUAUAAACUAUUGGUUUUCUGACGAGCAGUAAUACAUGAUGUGCAGUUGCUGUUCAUUUACUGAGCCUAUGUCGAAAUCUACUACUGGAGAUAUGAACUGAUAUGAAAUGGUCAUAGAAAACCUGUGUCCUACUGUAUUGCACCAUGACUAUAUCGUCCUCUAGUGUCAGUCUGAAGUGCUGCUCAGGAAGCUGCCACCUGGUGUUUGGGCAGUAUUAAACAUCAGCCAAACCAGAAUGCCUUCUCUGUAAAUGAAGAUUAAAAAUGCUUGUUUAUAUGCCACACAAAUUCUUGUCAUGUGACCUGAUAGUCAACAAUAUUUACAAUUAAGUUAAAAUGUUAUGUUCAGUGAAUGUAAUUCUGGGUCUAAUAACCAUGCCUGGAUGUAUUACUCCAUCACUGCUUUUUAUGUUUAUACUGGUCAGUCUUAAUAGUUAAAAAUUAAUCUUAAUUAAAUAUUAGGUAGAACCUUUAGCACCAGUUUACAUGAUUCACAACCAUAGUAAAAGCACAAAUGAGUAAUGUCAUCAUUUAAUGAUUACUUUACCCUGGGACUUUCUUUUCUUACCCGUGUCCUUCUUGAAGUCUUUUGACUUUUAAACUUUUUAGUAUGAAAAUAGAUAUGAUUUUAUGGUUGUGUAAUAAUCUUGCUGACAUGAAGAUAUUGCUCACAUGUGCAUGUAUCUGUCCUGUCCUACAUCGGUUUCAGCUGCUCAACUGUCAUUUCAUGUUUCUGUUUUUAAAUACCUCACCAUUUCUCCUACUGUACUGAAACCUUUUUUAAGUAGCAGUUUAGAUUUUUACUACUGGAAUGUUUUUUUUUUUUUGCAUCAAUAAACCUGAACAGACAUUUGGAAUUGUUAUAUUUCUACCUGAUACUUUCAAAGAACAGGUUCUAAACUUUUAGCUAGUUGUAUGAAAAUACAGUUUCUUAAAUUAGUUGCAUUUUUCUAGAUGAUUUUUACAGCAAUUUAGCGGUUUAACAUUUUUCUAUGCAAUUGAUAUUAUUGUGAAUAUAGUCCUCACCCUAAGAAUAUCAUUACAUUAGAGAAAUAUUAAAGAGUAAAUCUGUAUAGACGUCAGGCACAAACACAAGAGUUUACACAAUAAAGGCUCAGCCGUAUCCAUUUAGUCAUUUUGGUGCCAUUUACUGUGAGCAGACGUUACGUUUGCAUGAUUUAAAAUCUGAAAAAAAUAAAGGUUAUGAGAGCCAGAGAAUGUGCCAGUCUUACAGGAUGGGUGUACUUUUCCAGAGGAUCUUUGAUGGAACAGUCAAGACAAACAAGGUUAACGUGAAAGCACUUCAGUGUGGCAGAAACAUGCAAUUGCAACACUGAUGGAGCCCUCAGUGCUAUGGACAGAGAGGCAGAUUUACUAUGUGGGUUGUGGAUAUGUUGCAGACUGGAUACCUUAAAUGCAUCACAAGUACUUGUAACAAACAAUCUGAACCUCUAUACGUGAA